AAGUGUCAGGAAAAUGAAACAAGUUAAUCCUUGAGUGGUGACUGGUAAGCAGUAAGCUCUUGAUAAAUGUUAGUCUUUAUUGUUAUGAUUCUCCUUAUUUAUUAUUAUUAUUAUUAUUAUAUCCCACGGUUGAGGCAAGAAAUAAAAUUGAGGGGAAGAGAUUCUCUUAUGGAAUCUUUAUUUUAUUUUGACAUCAGCUCAGGAUCCAUCUACAGCCUUCUUUUGGGAUUUGGGAGUUCAGGAUUUUUUUUUUUUUUCAAAAGGCUCAAUCUGGUUCAAGUCUCAACAACUGUAUGUUUAGCGCGCGCGCGCGCGUGUGUGUGUGUGUGUGUGUGUGUGUCUUUAUUUUCCAUUUACUUCGAAAUUGAUAGAUUUCCAAUUUAGAGCAAGGGGGGAUCAGGAGGGAGAAGGAAAAUGGAGCUGCCCAUCAAAAUUAGCAGGGAAGUGGGUAAAGGUCAUUUGAUCACAGCUUGGCUGCGCUCUGAAUUAACCUGCAUAACAGAGACUUGUUGAGUUUGCAGCUCUUUCAGGUGCAUAUUAACACCAGGAGGAAGGCAAGGAGACACCCUGAGAGAAGGUCAAUUUGUGGCUGCUCAAAUCAGCAGGGCUCCUGGAGAAACUUGGCUGGAGAAGUCAGCUCCGGGACCUCAGGGUGGGGAGCAAGUGAGGAAAGUCCAGUCUAUGGAGGAGGGGAGGCCCGGGUGCUUCUUGGGGGCAGCUUCUGCAGUCUGGCUAACCUGUGAGAACCCUGAAAGUGCAGCUGGGAGGGACUUCCUGCAGAGCUGGAGCUACAACAGAAACAGAAUGAAAGAGAGCAAGGUGCUGCGCUCGUCUGUGGGAAGUGUUAAGAAUAACAAGAUGGGGAGACAAGUCUUUGCCCCCAGGGAGCUUGCAGUGUGGUCGGACUGAAAUAAAGGUGACAAUGGCGGAAAGGACUCAAGUACCAUGGUUGUUGGUUGCAUGCUACUCUCCACGUGGGUCCCCCACUCAGCAUCCUUGGUUUCCAAAUCCCAGAGGGAUUCUUGGGGCAGCCUUAAUGGACUGAGAAAAUGGCUGAUCAUCUUCAGUGGACAGAAGUCUUCUAUCUGCUAUCUGGAGUACUCCUUGAACAAAGACAAUAAGGAAAGCGAAUUAAUAGUCCAAAGGCUCUCUUCUCUUGUCCACCACCAUGUGAGAUGUGCCUUUCACCUUCCACCCAGGCUGGAGUACAGGAGUGCGACCAUGAUUGUGAAGCCUCCCCAGAAACGUGUGCCACUAUCGGUUCUCCAGCGAAAGAUCUGA
rnacentral:lncRNA from 13 species